CGGGGAAUUUUGGACAAUGGGCGAAAGCCUGAUCCAGCAAUGCCGCGUGUGUGAAGAAGGCCUUCGGGUUGUAAAGCACUUUUGUCCGGAAAGAAAUCCUUGGCUCUAAUACAGUCGGGGGAUGACGGUACCGGAAGAAUAAGCACCGGCUAACUACGUGCCAGCAGCCGCGGUAAUACGUAGGGUGCAAGCGUUAAUCGGAAUUACUGGGCGUAAAGCGUGCGCAGGCGGUUUGCUAAGACCGAUGUGAAAUCCCCGGGCUCAACCUGGGAACUGCAUUGGUGACUGGCAGGCUAGAGUAUGGCAGAGGGGGGUAGAAUUCCACGUGUAGCAGUGAAAUGCGUAGAGAUGUGGAGGAAUACCGAUGGCGAAGGCAGCCCCCUGGGCCAAUACUGACGCUCAUGCACGAAAGCGUGGGGAGCAAACAGGAUUAGAUACCCUGGUAGUCCACGCCCUAAACGAUGUCAACUAGUUGUUGGGGAUUCAUUUCCUUAGUAACGUAGCUAACGCGUGAAGUUGACCGCCUGGGGAGUACGGUCGCAAGAUUAAAACUCAAAUGAAUUGAC
rnacentral:rRNA from 1 species